UGCGUCAAAGCUUAAUUGUUUCUACGCCUAAUUCUUUUAUUAUUAUAAAAUCCUCCAUUUGUACUGAGUAAUUCUAUAUUCAUAUAGAAAAUUUAAUGUUAAAACUAGUAACAAGAAGAAAGCCCUUCUCUAAAAUGUAAGUGUAAAUCAGGCAGGACAAACCGCUGACAAUUAACAUAUUUGAGCCAAAAGUAACAACACAUCAAGAAAACCUUACUUAUACCUAUGUUAACCUAACACAAGAGCAUUCCAAGAAAGAUUAAAAGAAAAAGAAGGAACUCGGCAAAUACUAACCCCGCCUGUUUACCAAAAACAUCGCCUCUUGCAUCUCAUAAGAGGUCCAGCCUGCCCAGUGACUCUGUUCAACGGCCGCGGUAUCCUAACCGUGCGAAGGUAGCGUAAUCACUUGUUCUUUAAUUGUGGACUAGUAUGAAUGGCACCACGAGGGUUAUACUGUCUCCUUUUUCUAAUCAGUGAAACUAAUCUCUCCGUGAAGAAGCGGAGAUGAAGUUAUAAGACGAGAAGACCCUAUGGAGCUUUAAACAACUAUAGCAAUUAUCACAUUACACAGAUUUUUUCUGAAUCAAUUAAUUCUUAAGGUAGUAUGACUAUACGUUUUUGGUUGGGGUGACCGCGGAGCAAAAUUUAACCUCCAUGUUGAAUGACUAAACUUCUAAGCUGAGACCUACAUGUCUAAGCAUCAACACACUGACACUUAUUGACCCAAUAUACUUGAGCAACGAACCAAGUUACCCUAGGGAUAACAGCGCAAUCCACUUCAAGAGCUCCUAUCGACAAGUGGGUUUACGACCUCGAUGUUGGAUCAGGGUAUCCCAGUGGUGCAGCCGCUACUAAAG
rnacentral:rRNA from 1 species